UUGUCAUUGUUGAUGUUUGAGGAAGGAAAACUGGUGAACUGUGUUAGGAUGAGGCUGGUCUGUGGAAGGUGACAGGAUGAUUAAGUUUGUGCUAAUGGUGAACCAGCAGGGUCAGACCAGACUGUCCAAAUACUAUGAGCCAGUGGAGCUGAGCAAGAGAGCGGCGCUGGAAGCGGUGGCUGUCCGCUGCUGCCUGAGCCGCGGGAAGCAUCAGUGUUCGUUUGUGGAGUACAAAGACUUUAAGCUGGUGUAUCGGCAGUAUGCAGCGCUGUAUGUUGUGGUGGGGGUGACAGACAGCGAGAAUGAGUUAUCCAUCUAUGAGCUGAUCCAGAACUUUGUGGAGGUUUUAGAUAAAUACUUCAGCCGUGUGAGCGAACUGGAUAUCAUGUUUAAUCUGGACUCCGUUCACAUCAUCCUGGACGAGAUGAUCCAGAACGGCCACAUCGUGGAAACGAACAAGAGCCGCAUCCUCGCUCCACUCACCGCCAUCGACAAAAUGGCAGAUGGGUCUGAAACCACGCCUGACACACCACGAUUUGCCAUAAAACUGUGAUGGGUGCACCCCUCGUGUUUGUAGAGCAAACUGCUGCCAAGGAUCCAUGAGGCGCUAAUGUACCAGUGUGUGCAGCUCCCAGCAACACUUAACAGUACAGAAUACUGCUGACAGGUUACAACUAUCAGGGCAUCCUAGUCCAAUCCCUGGGGGCUUGUUGAGCGUUUCUGCCCCAACACAUCUGCUUACGUCCCGAUCUCUGCAGAACUUCUAAUUGUUCAUUUGAUCCCACUCAGCUCCUUCAGACAAGCCAGCAUCAAUUAGCAAAGACCUGGUGGAACUGCUGAGCUCAUCAACUUUAUUUAUAAACGUUUUAACAUCAGCUACAGCUGAAACAAAGUGCCGAACAUUCAUAGUGGAUAAAUAUGAUAAAGCAUUAAAAAGUAGUUACCUCUCAGUGCAACACUGGUAAACUCAUAGCAGGGGUGUUAAACUCGAGUCCUGCAGUUUUUAGAUGCGUCACAGACACAAAACACUGGAAUCACAUGCCUUAAUUUCCUCCUUAUUGUGUAGAUCAGUUCUCCAGAGCCUUGCUAAUGACCUAAUUAUUCUAUUCAGGUAUGAUGCAGUAGAGGCACAGUUAGAAGUUGCAGGGCAGUGGACCUCCAGGACUGGAGUUCGACACCUCUGCGUUAAAGGGUCAAUAGAGGAGCCAUGCUGUGACAACUUGGGAGUUUCAGAAAGAGCAGUUUUUAAAGAGACAAAGGCCCAUUUUUAAGGAGUUAAUUAUAAAGUCAAAUUUCAUUAAAAGUGAUUUUAUUUACAUUUGAAGUUACUUGAUUGUGCUUUAAAAAGGAACCAUGUGCCUUGAAAAUAAAUACUGCCCCUUUAAAUCAUUUUUGUGCCACUCAGCUCUUCAGAUCUAGAGCAUCUAAAUUUUAUCAGACUCUGAAAUUAAUCUUUGGAAUCUGGGAGAUGUAGUCCUCACAGCUGUUUGAACAGUUUCCUAUUUGAUGCUCUUCCAUAAACAUGUCACAUCUGUGGAGAGCACUUGUGGAUCUCUGCAGCUCCUCCAGAGUUACCAUGAACCUCUUGGCUGCUUCUCUAAUUAGUCUUUUUACUGCUUGAUGGGCGAAGCUUGAUCUCACCUGUUAAAUUCAACAGUUACUAAAUCAAAAAGCAAUUUAUCAAAUUUUGUGUUUCUAAGAUGCUGAAAAAAAAAACUACAAACCACACAACUAAAUUUUUACUUCAUACUUUGCAAACAAUU